CGGAAAAAGAAGAGUGGCGAACGGGUGAGUAACACGUGGGUAACCUGCCCAUCAGAAGGGGAUAACACUUGGAAACAGGUGCUAAUACCGUAUAACAAUCAAAACCGCAUGGUUUUGAUUUGAAAGGCGCUUUCGGGUGUCGCUGAUGGAUGGACCCGCGGUGCAUUAGCUAGUUGGUGAGGUAACGGCUCACCAAGGCCACGAUGCAUAGCCGACCUGAGAGGGUGAUCGGCCACAUUGGGACUGAGACACGGCCCAAACUCCUACGGGAGGCAGCAGUAGGGAAUCUUCGGCAAUGGACGAAAGUCUGACCGAGCAACGCCGCGUGAGUGAAGAAGGUUUUCGGAUCGUAAAACUCUGUUGUUAGAGAAGAACAAGGAUGAGAGUAACUGUUCAUCCCUUGACGGUAUCUAACCAGAAAGCCACGGCUAACUACGUGCCAGCAGCCGCGGUAAUACGUAGGUGGCAAGCGUUGUCCGGAUUUAUUGGGCGUAAAGCGAGCGCAGGCGGUUUCUUAAGUCUGAUGUGAAAGCCCCCGGCU
rnacentral:rRNA from 1 species